rnacentral:snoRNA from 1 species
AAUGGGGCUUUUCUAGAGACUCACAUGACCGCUCCCAUGGUUGGAAAUGCCCCACAGAGUAACUAUGUGGUUUGCUUUACUCAUAGAACUACUCACUGAAUCUGUGAGGAAAAAGACAGAA